CUAAUCAUGCGGGGUCCACUUUGACAUUUUUCAUUCAUAUAUUGAAUCUUUGCGGAUCACACGAUUCGAUUCUUAGGGGUGACGAUUCAAUUCAGAAUAGAUUCUCGAUUCAAAAUCAAUACGUUUUUUAAUAACAUUGGAUGCCAGUUCUAUGAUUAACUACAUUCCUCCAUUAAAUAGACAAACAGUUCUAAUAAAUGUCUAUGUUGCUUAAAAGAAAACUGGUUUUGUUGAAUAAAAUUCCAGCCAAAUAUUUAAUAAAGUCAAAUACAAAUAAGGCAAAAAGAGAAGUAUCCAACACUUCUCCUUUCUAAAGUAAAUAUGUACAGCAGAUAUAGAUCAUCUACAUCAACUCCCUGCUUGGCACUCAGCAUCAAGGGUUGGAAUUGGGGGUUAAAUCACCAAAAAUGAUUCCCGGGCGCGGCACCGCUGCUGCCCGCUGCUCCCCUCACCUCCCAGGGGGUGAUCAAGGGGAUGGGUCAAAUGCAGAGGACAAAUUUCACCACACCUAGUGUGUGUGUGACAAUCAUUGGUACUUUAACUUUAACUUAACUUAACUAUAUGAUUGAAAAAAAAUACAAUUCAAAAUGUGUUUUUAUUAUUAUUAUUAUUAUUAGUUUUAUUUUUUUUGAUCGAUUAAAAAUUGUUACAAAUAAAAUCGCGGUUAAUUUCAAAAAAAAAAUUUUUUUGACAAGCCUACAAUAUAUAGAUUUUUUUUUUUAAACCGUUAUAGCUCUUCUCAAGUUUGGUCCCAUGGAUCUGAAAGGGUCUCAAACAUUUUUAAAAUAAUUUAUUUAUUUUUAUUCAACGCUUAAAUCUACAUCAACUUCACAUCCAUCUGUCGAUGUAAAGUUUAUUUUUAUUUUUUAUACCCUUUUUGCCAAAACCUGUUUUAAUAUGGCAAAAACCACAACAUUUGCCAUAUUUUACCCCUCAAAAAUGUCAAUGUAAUAUUUGAUGUCAUGUAAUUGGAGCCUUAAAUAGGUCAAUAAUUCAUAACAACAUUGAUUUUAAGUCAUUAUUUUUGAGCAAUGAGAGUUUAUAAAAAAAAAUGUAACUAAUAUUCUCAGGGAUCCAAAAGGGUCCCGCUCAUAAAAGUGUGAAAAAUAAGUCAUAAUUAUUUAUUUUUACUUUCAACGUUGAAGUCUCCAGAUCAACUUCAGUUCUAUCAGUAGAUAAAAAGUAAAAAAAAUAAAUAAAUACGUUUUUAAUUUUUAUGCUCUUUGUCACAACCUGUUUUAUUAAUGGAAAAAAACACAAAACAUUUAAUAUUUUCCCCAAAAAGUUUUUUAAAGUGUUAUAUUUCAUGUUAAGUAAUUGGAGCCUUAAAUAUGUCAAUAAUUCAUAACAACAUUUAUUUUGAUUCAUUAUUAUUUUUUGAGCAAUGACAGUUAAAAAAAAACAAAAAAAACACUAAAAUUCCCAGGGACCCAAAAGGGUCCCACUCAUAACAGUGUUAAAUUAUGUCUUACAAUUUAAAAAAAUUUUUUACAACUUCAGAUCUAUCCGCCGAUAACUUUUUAUUUCAAUUAGUUUGUUUUAUGCCCUUUUUGUCCAAGAAAACACACAAAACAUGCCAUAUUUUCCCCAAAAUAUUUUCCAAAGUGCAAUAUUUGAUGUGAAGUCAUUGGAGCCUUAAAUAGGUCAAUAAUUCAUAACAACAUUGAUUUUAAGUCAUUAUUUUUGAGCAAUGAGAGUUUAUAAAAAAAUGUAACUAAUAUUCUCAGGGAUCCAAAAGGGUCCCGCUCAUAAAAGUGUGAAAAAUAAGUCAUAAUUAUUUAUUUUUACUUUCAACGUUGAAGUCUCCAGAUCAACUUCAGUUCUAUCAGUCGAUAAAAAGUAAAACAAAUAAAUAAAUAAAUACGUUUUUAAUUUUUAUGCUCUUUGUCACAACCUGUUUUUUUAAUGGAAAAAAAAACACAAAACAUUCAAUAUUUUCCCCAAAAGGUGUUAUAUUUCAUGUUAAGUAAUUGGAGCCUUAAAUAGGUCAAUAAUUCAUAACAUUUAUUUUGAUUCAUUAUUAUUUUUUGAGCAAUGACAGUUAAAAAAAAAUCCCACUAAAAUUCUCAGGGACCCAAAAGGGUCCCACUCAUAACAGUGUUAAAUUAUGUCUUACAAUUUAAAAAAAUGUUUUUUACAACUUCAGAUCUAUCCGCCGAUAACAACUUUUAAUUUCAUUUAGUUUGUUUUAUGCCCUUUUUGUCCAAGAAAACACACAAAACAUGCCAUAUUUUCCCCAAAAUAUUUUUCAAAGUGCAAUAUUUGAUGUGAAGGCAUUGGAGCCUUAAAUAGGUCAAUAAUUCAUAACAACAUUUAUUUUGAUUCAUUAUUAUUUUUUGAGCAAUGACAGUUAAAAAAAAAAAUCCCACUAAAAUUCUCAGGGACCCAAAAGGAUCCCACUCAUAACAGUGUUAAAUUAUGUCUUACAAUUAAAAAAAAAAAGUUUUACAACUUCAGAUCUAUCCGCCGAUAACAACUUUUUAUUUCAUUUAGUUUGUUUUAUGCCCUUUUUGUCCAAGAAAACACACAAAACAUGCCAUAUUUUCCCAAAAAAAUUUCAAAGUGCAAUAUUUGAUGUGAAGGCAUUGGAGCCUUAAACAGGUCAAUAAUUCAUAACAACAUUGAUUUUAAGUCAUUAUUUUUGAACAACGAGAGUUUAUAAAAAAAUGUAACUACCGGUAAUAUUCUCAGGGAUCCAAAAGGGUCCCGCUCAUAAAAGUGUGAAAAAUAAGUCAUAAUUAUUUAUUUUUACUUUCAAUGUUGAAGUCUCCAGAUCAACUUCAGUUCUAUCAGUCGAUAAAAAGUAAAAAAAAAAAAAAAAAAAAUACGUUUUUAAUUUUUAUGCUCUUUGUCACAACCUGUUUUUUUAAUGGAAAAAAAACACAAAACAUUCAAUAUUUUCCCCAAAAGGUGUUUUAAAGUGUUAUAUUUCAUGUUAAGUAAUUGGAGCCUUAAAUAGGUCAAUAAUUCAUAACAACAUUGAUUUUAAGUCAUUAUUUUUGAGCAAUGAGAGUUUAUAAAAAAAAAAAACUAAUAUUCUCAGGGAUCCAAAAGGGUCCCGCUCAUAAAAGUGUGAAAAAUAAGUCAUAAUUAUUUAUUUUUACUUUCAACGUUGAAGUCUCCAGAUCAACUUCAGUUCUAUCAGUCGAUAAAAAGUAAAAAAAUAAAUAUGUUUUUAAUUUUUGUGCUCUUUGUCACAACCUGGUUUUUUAAUGGAAAAAACACAAAACAUUCAAUCGUUUCACCAAACAAAAAUUUAAAGUGUUAUAUUUAAUGUUAAGUAAUUGGAGCCUUAAAUAGGUCAAUAAUUCAUAACAACAUUUAUUUUGAUUCAUUAAUAUUUUUUGAGCAAUGACAGUUAAAAAAAAAAAUCCCACUAAAAUUCUCAGGGACCCAAAAGGAUCCCACUCAUAACAGUGUUAAAUUAUGUCUUACAAUUAAAAAAAAAAAGUUUUACAACUUCAGAUCUAUCCGCCGAUAACAACUUUUUAUUUCAUUUAGUUUGUUUUAAGCCCUUUUUGUCCAAGAAAACACACAAAACAUGCCAUAUUUUCCCCAAAAAAUUUUCAAAGUGCAAUAUUUGAUGUGAAGGCAUUGGAGCCUUAAAUAGGUCAAUAAUUCAUAACAACAUUGAUUUUAAGUCAUUAUUUUUGAGCAAUGAGAGUUUAUAAAAAAAUGUAACUAAUAUUCUCAGGGAUCCAAAAGGGUCCCGCUCAUAAAAGUGUGAAAAAUAAGUCAUAAUUAUUUAUUUUUACCUUCAACGUUGAAGUCUCCUUAUCAACUUCAGUUCUAUCAGUCGAUAAAAAGUAAAAAAAAUAAAUAAAUACGUUUUUAAUUUUUAUGCUCUUUGUCACAACCUGUUUUUUUAAUGGAAAAAAACACAAAACAUUCAAUAUUUUCCCCAAAAAGUUUUUUAAAGUGUUAUAUUUCAUGUUAAGUAAUUGGAGCCUUAAAUACGUCAAUAAUUCAUAACAACAUUUAUUUUGAUUCAUUAUUAUUUUUUGAGCAAUGACAGUUAAAAAAAAAAAUCCCACUAAAAUUCUCAGGGACCCAAAAGGAUCCCACUCAUAACAGUGUUAAAUUAUGUCUUACAAUUAAAAAAAAAAAGUUUUACAACUUCAGAUCUAUCCGCCGAUAACAACUUUUUAUUUCAUUUAGUUUGUUUUAUGCCCUUUUUGUCCAAGAAAACACACAAAACAUGCCAUAUUUUCCCCAAAAUAUUUUUCAAAGUGCAAUAUUUGAUGUGAAGUCAUUGGAGCCUUAAAUAGGUCAAUAAUUCAUAACAACAUUGAUUUUAAGUCAUUAUUUUUGAGCAACGAGAGUUUAUAAAAAAAUGUAAUUACCGGUAAUAUUCUCAGGGAUCCAAAAGGGUCCCGCUCAUAAAAGUGUGAAAAAUAAGUCAUAAUUAUUUAUUUUUACCUUCAACGUUGAAGUCUCCUUAUCAACUUCAGUUCUAUCAGUCGAUAAAAAGUAAAAAAAAUAAAUAAAUACGUUUUUAAUUUUUAUGCUCUUUGUCACAACCUGUUUUUUUAAUGGAAAAAAAACACAAAACAUUCAAUAUUUUCCCCAAAAAGUUUUUUAAAGUGUUAUAUUUCAUGUUAAGUAAUUGGAGCCUUAAAUAGGUCAAUAAUUCAUAACAUUUAUUUUGAUUCAUUAUUAUUUUUUGAGCAAUGACAGUUAAAAAAAAAAAAAAAACACUAAAAUUCUCAGGGACCCAAAAGGGUCCCACUCAUAAAAGUGUUAAAUUAUGUCUUACAACUUCAGAUCUAUCCGCCGAUAACAACUUUUUAUUUCAUUUAGUUUGUUUUAUGCCCUUUUUGUCCAAGAAAACACACAAAACAUGCCAUAUUUUCCCCAAAAUAUUUUUCAAAGUGCAAUAUUUGAUGUGAAGUCAUUGGAGCCUUAAAUAGGUCAAUAAUUCAUAACAACAUUGAUUUUAAGUCAUUAUUUUUGAACAACGAGAGUUUAUAAAAAAAUGUAACUACCGGUAAUAUUCUCAGGGAUCCAAAAGGGUCCCGCUCAUAAAAGUGUGAAAAAUAAGUCAUAAUUAUUUAUUUUUACCUUCAACGUUGAAGUCUCCUUAUCAACUUCAGUUCUAUCAGUCGAUAAAAAGUUAAAAAAAAAUAAAAAAAUACGUUUUUAAUUUUUAUGCUCUUUGUCACAACCUGUUUUUUUAAUGGAAAAAAACACAAAACAUUCAAUAUUUUCCCCAAAAAGUUUUUUAAAGUGUUAUAUUUCAUGUUAAGUAAUUGGAGCCUUAAAUAGGUCAAUAAUUCAUAACAUUUAUUUUGAUUCAUUAUUAUUUUUUGAGCAAUGACAGUUAAAAAAAAAAAAAACACUAAAAUUCUCAGGGACCCAAAAGGGUCCCACUCAUAAAAGUGUUAAAUUAUGUCUUACAACUUCAGAUCUAUCCGCCGAUAACAACUUUUUAUUUCAUUUAGUUUGUUUUAUGCCCUUUUUGUCCAAGAAAACACACAAAACAUGCCAUAUUUUCCCCAAAAUAUUUUUCAAAGUGCAAUAUUUGAUGUGAAGUCAUUGGAGCCUUAAAUAGGGGCGGCAUGGCGUAGUGGGUAGAGCAACCGUGCCAGAAACCUGAGGGUUGCAGGUUCGCUCCCCGCCUCUUACCAUCCAAAAAAAUCGCUGCCGUUGUGUCCUUGGGCGGGACACUUCACCCUUUGCCCCCGGUGCCACUCACACCAGUGAACUGAAUGAUGAAUGACAGGUGGUGGUCGGAGGGGCCGUUGGCGCAAAUUGCAGCCACGCUUCCAUCAGUCUACCCCAGGGCAGCUGUGGCUAGGAAAGUAGCUUACCACCACCAGGUGUGAAUGAUUGAUGGGUUCUACAUGUAAAGUGACUUUGGGUACUGGGAAAAGCGCUAUAUAAAUCCCAGUUAUUAUUAUGAUUAUUAAAUAGGUCAAUAACAACAUUGAUUUUGAUUCAUUAUUAUUAAUUGAGCAAUGACAGUUUUAAAGUCAUUGCUUUCACCUUUUUGCCCUUUUAUUCCACUUUGUUUGGUUAUUUUCAAAGAGCAUUUCUAGAAUGUGCCACGGAGCGUUAUGAAAUUAGCGGCGGGCCGCACUUUGGACACACUGCUUUAAAGGAGUCAUUUAGUUGGAGGAACAUAAUAUAACGCGGAACAAAGACUCGGGGCGAAGGAAGGAUGAACUAAUCCUGUAUGGCGGACAUGUUUGUUGUUUAUGUUGGACGUGGCCAGUAUUGUACGUUGUUGCUGUGCAAGCCUUGACAUCCGACCACCGCUUCACAAUGGUGUAUAUUCCCAAGACCUGUUCUUCCGUGUGACGACAUCAUUGUUGUGACAAUCACAGUAACAAAGAGUGAGGGGGGGGCGUGGUCACCUGCUAUGUGAUAGCUCGAAGGCCACACCCACUUCACCUUCCCCGUAACGGGCUCAACUACGCGAGGCGGGGGCCCUGCUCGUGUUUCUGUCUGUGCACUUCCUGUUGUCAUUGGCGCGCUUCCUGUCGUGGUCGUCGGCCUGCAGGGAGAGGACGUUGUACACUAUGUGACGUGACAUUGUACGGCUUCAUUCCUGCUCUGGAAGAUGCCUUAGACCCUCUAUUUAAAUGUUUGUGUUAAUUUAUACAUGCUGACGUCAUGUGCACUGAUUCAAACACCACAAUGUGUGCAUUGAUUAUCCUAAGAAGUAAAUGUCGAUGAAUUCCCCCUCCAAAUGAAACGUUUUUUGUUGCUCUCCCGCUGCCAACUGCUGGGCGUGUCAGCAGAACCCAAGACCAGCAGUUCCUUUUCUACACUGUACGAGGUGCUCCUUUUCUACAAGCGGCCCACAAAUAAACAACUCAAACCAC